GGGUUGUUAGCUCAGUUGGUAGAGCAGGUGACUCUUAAUCACCGGAUCGGGGGUUCGAAUCCCUCACAACCCA
rnacentral:tRNA from 1 species